rnacentral:rRNA from 1 species
GCUAAACGCGAAGAACCUUACCAAGGCUUGACAUGGAUUUCUAAGCACGUGAAAGCGUGUGACCCUUCGGGGGACUUCCACAGGUGCUGCAUGGCCGUCGUCAGCUCGUGUCGUGAAAAUGUUGGGUUAAGUCCCGUAACGAGCGCAACCCUUGUCCUUAGUUACCAGCACGUUAUGGUGGGCACUCUAAGGAGACUGCCGGUGACAAACCGGAGGAGGGUGGGGAUGACGUCAAGUCAUCAUGGCCCUUACGGCCUGGGCUACACACGUGCUACAAUGGUCGGUACAGAGGGUUGCCAAGCCGCGAGGUGGAGCUAAUCUCACAAAACCGAUCGUAGUCCGGAUCGCAGUCUGCAACUCGACUGCGUGAAGUCGGAAUCGCUAGUAAUCGCGGAUCAGAACGCCGCGGUGAAUACGUUCCCGGGUCUUGUACACACCG